rnacentral:rRNA from 1 species
GACGAACGCUGGCGGCGUGCUUAACACAUGCAAGUCGAAUGGAAAGGCCCUGCUUUUGCGGGGUGCUCGAGUGGCGAACGGGUGAGUAACACGUGAGUAACCUGCCCUUGACUUUGGGAUAACUUCAGGAAACUGGGGCUAAUACCGGAUAGGAGCUCCUGCUGCAUGGUGGGGGUUGGAAAGUUUCGGCGGUUGGGGAUGGACUCGCGGCUUAUCAGCUUGUUGGUGGGGUAGUGGCUUACCAAGGCUUUGACGGGUAGCCGGCCUGAGAGGGUGACCGGCCACAUUGGGACUGAGAUACGGCCCAGACUCCUACGGGAGGCAGCAGUGGGGAAUAUUGCACAAUGGGCGGAAGCCUGAUGCAGCAACGCCGCGUGCGGGAUGACGGCCUUCGGGUUGUAAACCGCUUUCGCCUGUGACGAAGCGUGAGUGACGGUAAUGGGUAAAGAAGCACCGGCUAACUACGUG